rnacentral:misc_RNA from 1 species
UCUUUACUCUUUUUUUUUUCUAGUGCUCCAACGCCUAGCCCAGAAAAUCCCGCUCGCCACAGAAAUGCUCUUGCGGCGUGUGCUCAAGUGCAGCUCACAGGCUCGCUGGGUUCGGUGGGACGGCAUAAAAGCUCCUUCAGUAUUGAAUCAUGCUGCGGACCACAGUGAUCUGCUAAAUGCUGUCUUCGACGAGAUCGAAAAUUGCGACACAUCCGUCCAUGCAGAGAAGCGCGAGUCGCCAAAAAUGGUUGAGUCCAGUGGCACGCCAACCAGCCCAUCUAACACCGCCCCAUCAGUUUCAGACACAAAAGUGCGGCUUGAAGAAGCAAAGCAUAAACGGCUACGCCGUCAGCUGAGGGACGCCACUGAGGAGCUUGAUGCUCUACUGAACGAAAGCAGCCGGACGACAGCCGCUGUCUCGAGCGCCAAGUAUGUACCUGCGCGGGCGGCAAAGACGUUCUUGUCCUCGGCUGAAUUGGUUCAGGAAAAGUCGCCUCAAGAAUUUGUAGCGCUGGAAAACAGCAAAGCAGAGCUGGAUCGCCUGCCGGUGCUGCGACACUCAGGAUGCUCCGCAGUAGUGACGUUAGUGGGAGUUGUCACCGAGCCACCAACAAGCGUCAGCGUAGCGCUUCCUGGAGUGAGUGAGGCGACUAACUGUGUCGAGUUUGCUGUUCGGUACGAUGUUCCGUUUUUCCAGAUGCAAACAUCCAUGGGGAUAGUGAUUCGGACAGUUGGGGCAUCACUGUCUGCGUUUGCGAAGGAGAGCGUUGACGUGGGGGAUGUUGUUCAUCUUUUAGGUCAUUUGGUUCCACUGACAGAACCUAACGGCAAGGGCCACUUUUGCUGUGUUUACGUGCUUCCAGCUGGCGGCAACAUGUCUGUCCUUUUGAAAGCCACGUCAUAGUCAACAUGUUGUGUUCACAAAAAAAAAGAGGUGCCAGUGAGCAGUUAGCAUGUCUAUGCUUUUGAUGUGUUCAAUCGUCAGCAUCCUCGCAACGCUGUUUCUCCUGCUCUGAAUGCGCAUUCUCCAAC